GUAGGUGAGGGGGAUCUGGUUGCAACAUCUGUCACCCCACUGAUUGCCAGGGUUGAUUCGGCUAGGCGGGUGUCCCCUCCCUCCCUCACCACUCCAUGUGCAUCCCUCCCGAAGCUGCAAGCUCAGUCGAAGAGGACCACCUUCCCCGAUAGAGGAGGACUGUUCUUCAGUCAAGGGUAUACGAGUAGCUGUGCUCCCCUGCUCGAACCUCCAAACAAGCUCUCAAGGUACCAGUCGGGCUGCUGUGGAGUAAGCAAGGAUAAACGUGGCUGGAGUUGGAGAUGAGCUCAUGUAGAAAAGUUCUGACUUC
rnacentral:snRNA from 1 species